UGCCCCGUGGCCCAGAUGGUUAAGGCGUGUGACUGUUAUCUAGGACGUUGUCUACGAGAUCACAAGAUCGAGAGCUCGAGCCUCUCCGGGGCAG
rfam:Schizophyllum commune H4-8 unplaced genomic scaffold SCHCOscaffold_8, whole genome shotgun sequence.